rnacentral:ncRNA from 1 species
CGGUAGCUGGAUCAAACCGGGCUCUCCCGAGCCGAACCCAGCCUUCAAUGUCCGCUCAGGACAACCACAACCCCGUGGG